UAGGGAAUCUUCGGCAAUGGGGGGAACCCUGACCGAGCAACGCCGCGUGAGUGAAGAAGGUUUUCGGAGCGUAAAGCUCUGUUGGUAAGGAAGAACGAGUGUGAGAAUGGAAAGUUCAUACUGUGACGGUACUUAACCAGAAAGGGACGGCUAACUACGUGCCAGCAGCCGCGGUAAUACGUAGGUCCCGAGCGUUGUCCGGAUUUAUUGGGCGUAAAGCGAGCGCAGGCGGUUAGAUAAGUCUGAAGUUAAAGGCAGUGGCUCAACCAUUGUAGGCUUUGGAAACUGUUUAACUUGAGUGCAGAAGGGGAGAGUGGAAUUCCAUGUGUAGCGGUGAAAUGCGUAGAUAUAUGGAGGAACACCGGUGGCGAAAGCGGCUCUCUGGUCUGUAACUGACGCUGAGGCUCGAAAGCGUGGGGAGCGAACAGG
rnacentral:rRNA from 1 species